UUGGCCGUCAGCGUCUUGAGGUGAGGUCCGUGGCAAACAUCAUCACGGACUGUGGUAGGGAAGCAGCAGGAGCUACAUCAGUGUUCCAGAAGGAUCCGAGACAGGCUCCCCAAUACUCCCAAGAUUCAACACGUUUACAGGGUGUGGCUGCACAUCUACAUUUUAAGAAAGACACAACUAACAAUUUUGUAGAUAUGUUCAUCAGCAUGGGAGAAAUCACCGAUGGCGUUGAAGUUGAUGUUGUUGAUGGUCUGCAGGUGUAUGUUUAGCACAAGACAACAGAUGCUAAUGAGGCUCGUUACAUCAAGAUGCUGGAAAUGACUGGAAAACCUGACAAGACAGCAGAUUCACAAGCAGGUGAUUUGAUGCUGCCAGAAUAUGGGUGGCAGCUCAAAGGGAACUGAUUACAACUGACCUGAUUUGGGAACCCUAUCACUCCAGACAAUUUGUUUAGAAUGCCUGAGCCUGAAGAUGAGGGUGACAGUGACUGUGAGGAAACAGUUAUUACAGCGGUGAUGACGCUGACAUCUAACAAGAAAAUAUAAAUAUACUAAUUGAUUCUGAUGAUGAUCCGUGGAGUGAGGAACUCGAGUCAGAUCAGGAAGAUGACACGCAGUGAAUUCUUGACUGCAGCUGAAUGAUUUGAUAUGACUAUUGCCAAUUAGAAAGGUCUCUGUUUAUAUCCACAUAUCGUUAAAAAACUCUUUGAAUCUACUGUAAAUUUUCCAGAUAUUUCACUGCCCUAAACAUUUUGCAUGUUGUUCAGUCGGUUACGCAAUGAGCUGAUUUAUCUUAGCUUAUGAAUGCUGUCCUUUUGGGAUGUCUGUUGCAUGCCCCACCACUGAAAAUGUCUGGCUUUGGUAUUUUCUUAUACUGCUGAUAUCAUGGCAUCAUUUGAUGUUGAUCCUAAGCUGAUCUAGUUUGAUUUUUAUGUUCCAGUUUCUUGGCUCUGUCAAGGGUACCCCACCAAUGAAAACAUCUAACAUUUAUCAUUUCUAAUA